rnacentral:rRNA from 1 species
UACAGAGGGGGCAAGCGUUGUUCGGAAUUACUGGGCGUAAAGGGCGCGUAGGCGGCCCGCUAAGUCGAACGUGAAAUCCCCGGGCUCAACCCGGGAACUGCGUCCGAUACUGGUGGGCUUGAAUCCGGGAGAGGGAUGCGGAAUUCCGGGUGUAGCGGUGAAAUGCGUAGAUAUCCGGAGGAACACCGGUGGCGAAGGCGGCUUCCUGGGACCGACACUGACGCUGAGGCGCGAAAGCUAGGGGAGCAAACGGG